rnacentral:rRNA from 1 species
UACGUAGGGUGCAAGCGUUGUCCGGAAUUAUUGGGCGUAAAGAGCUCGUAGGCGGUCUGUCGCGUCGGCUGUGAAAACCCGGAGCUCAACUCCGGGCCUGCAGUCGAUACGGGCAGACUGGAGUUCGGCAGGGGAGACUGGAAUUCCUGGUGUAGCGGUGAAAUGCGCAGAUAUCAGGAGGAACACCGGUGGCGAAGGCGGGCCUCUGGGCCGAUACUGACGCUGAGGAGCGAAAGCGUGGGGAGCGAACAGG